rnacentral:rRNA from 1 species
GAUGAACGCUGGCGGCGUGCCUAAUACAUGCAAGUCGAGCGAACAGAUGAGGAGCUUGCUCCUCUGACGUUAGCGGCGGACGGGUGAGUAACACGUGGAUAACCUACCUAUAAGACUGGGAUAACUUCGGGAAACCGGAGCUAAUACCGGAUAAUAUAUUGAACCGCAUGGUUCAAUAGUGAAAGACGGUUUUGCUGUCACUUAUAGAUGGAUCCGUGCCGCAUUAGCUAGUUGGUAAGGUAACGGCUUACCAAGGCAACGAUGCGUAGCCGACCUGAGAGGGUGAUCGGCCACACUGGAACUGAGACACGGUCCAGACUCCUACGGGAGGCAGCAGUAGGGAAUCUUCCGCAAUGGGCGAAAGCCUGACGGAGCAACGCCGCGUGAGUGAUGAAGGUCUUCGGAUCGUAAAACUCUGUUAUUAGGGAAGACCAAAUGUGUAAGUAACUAUGCACGUCUUGACGGUACCUAAUCAGAAAGCCACGGCUAACUACGUG